GGGCGAAUGGUCUAGGGGUAUGAUAUUCGCUUUGCAUACAAUCUGCUGCACCUCUGGUGUUCACAGAUAUCCUGCUUGCGAAGGGUCCGGGGUUCAAAUCCCCGUUCGUCCA